UUCGAUAUAAAUCCGCAGGAAUAAUUCCCUAUCAAGUAGCAUGAAUAGCGUGUAUUUGCGUCACAAAUUCUCUGCAUUUUCUGAUUCAUUUAUCGAUGCGUUUGUCUCUAGCUCUUGUUCUUAACCAUUGAUUGCGACAUCAGAGCCCCGUUCCACUGCCUCCCGCGCUUGAUAUUUUCCUUCUUUUUUUGCCUUUUUUUUCUGUUUAAUGAAGUUCUGUAGUGCCGCCUGCUGUUUUGAUUGUUCUAGGCAUCGAUUGUUAUGGAAUUCGCUUGAUCAGCUCCCAAUUGCAUUGUCUUCCUCAGUUGUGUGUUUGAGAGAGAAGGUCGAUUCAGAUGACGAAUGGAGACAAUGGCCGUUGCGUGUUUCCGUUGACAGGCUUACAAAUUGGGGAUUUGCAGUCCUAUCUUUCACAUCUGAGCCUAUUUAUGGCCUCUGACAGUGGGAAGUUCUACAUCUUGGUGGACAACCGGCCAUGGUUAAAGGAUCUCGUGUCACGACCCACACAUUUGUGGCAGUUGAUGGUCACUAAGUCCAGGUCGUCUCCAUUCGCAAACACGAAGAGGGGGAAGGAUAGGAAGUUGAUGAGACAACUUUCGGAAUUGGAGACUUCUCCCUCACUAAACACAAGUAAGUUGAGAAACUUCAAGCAGUGGAUCUCGUUGAUUGAUGCAGUGAUCUUGUCCCGGAAGAGGGCUUUGUUACCUGUCAAGAAGCUUAGGAAUUCUUUGAUUGCAAACAGCAAGUUGCAUAGAACCUUGUAUGGCUUCAUUGUCUUUGAAGUUGCGUGGAGGGAUGUACGUGGUAUUAACUAUUUGAACGAGCUUCAGACUGAUACCUCGCUUGCAAUGGAGGCUAAAGUCAUGAGAAGGUGGCAAUUCGAUAGCAUAGCCCAAGCCGCUAACUCGAUUUCUUCAUGGUUCCCUGGUACCCUCGAUGAACGGAUCCUUUUGGAAGAGCAUUUGGAUGCUACAAUAGGGGAAGUUUUCCAUGACGCACGAGAAAGUUUCCCAAGGAGUGACAAGAAGGCAGAUAUGGCAGGUGAUUGCACCAAUGUUGAAACUGAAUCCCCAUGCUCUUCGAGUAGUAGUUUCAGCAUGUACACUAUAAUGGGGCAAAACUUGACACAGAGACUCCACACUCCUCCUCCUGAAGGGUUUCCUUACAAAAGGCGGAAACUUACGAGUCCUAUACACUUCGAUCUUGGUUCAUCUUCUGAAGUAGCAGACGCGGAAAAUUUUGAUAUAUUGUCUCACACGCCAGAUACAAGUGACUGUGAAGACACACUCCAGCCUUCCAUGUACCGUGAUGUUCUGAUUUUGUUCCGGUUUGAUGAACGCGACCUUCCUAACAAAUUAAGGUACAUAAUUAUGUCUGAUCUGCGGUUACUCACUCUUCUUGAAGCUGGGCUUCCAUCAUGGGUUAUUUUCCUUCAAUCUUAUCCAGUAUUCUGCCAUCUCUAUCGUCCCUGGAUGUGUCCGUUGGCCAGGGCUUGCUAUGUGCUUAUAUCGAUCAUCACUGUCCUCAUUGGGUUUUACGACUUGUAUAAAAAUGUACCACUCCUUAAGGCCACAGCAUCUAGGUUGUUCGGGCCCCUGUUCGACUGGAUAGAAUCGUUGGAAAUGAUUUCAAGAAUCAAGUAUUUAGGGACCAUGUUAUUCCUUCAUAAUUUUCAAAAGGCGAUUAAGUGGUUUCUUUCUGCAAUGAGAACCAUUCGUUCAAUUUUCACAUUAGUUAUAGAGCCAAUGGCUGGACCAUUUGCUGAGUUUCUGGAAUUCUUACUUCCUCUGUGGACUGUGUUCGGAGAAGUUGCUGAGAAUCUGUUUUCAGUCAUGUGGAUGGUGACCGAGUCUUGUUUUGCAAUGGUAGGAGACCUAAUAGAGAUUUUAGUGCUGCCAUUGUGGUUUAUCUUGUCUCUUGUAUGGAAUAUUGCAAUAUCGGUUAUAUGUCCCAUGUUCUGGAUACUGUUUGAGUUCCUUUAUGCUCCAAUUCGACUCGUCCUAGGAUUUUGUAGCCUCGUGGCGUAUUUAUGCACGCUUGUUUAUGAAAUGGUUGGAGAUUUAUUGCUGUUCGCUGGCAGCCUAGUUAGUUUUACCAGGGAUGUCGAAUCAACAGUGAGCUCGUAUGAGGUUUCAAUCUGGCGCUCUCUGUGGAACGACCUUUUCUCUCAGAUUUUCCGUGCUCUCCGAAGUAUCCUCAAUGGUUUUGUGGCUUUCUUCAUGGCAUGUAAUAGGCACCGGCUGAGAUUGACGGCCGCACGUCUUUUUCCUGCAGCACGUAUAAUCAUAUGAAGGAGUUAUACCACAGAUUGUCUCGUAGACCCAGGAGAGUGAGUGCUCAAAAAGUCGAUCAAGAUACACAUACUUCUGCAACACGUUUAUCUCCAAGAGUUGGGAAGAGUCCCAUCACCAGUUCAAGCCCAGGAACGGUUAGAUGAUGUUGACACGUACCAUAUACAGCAACAUUCAAUGUGCACUAUACUAAUAUCAUCUUGUACAUGUGAGAGCUUGUCCAUAGUCAUCUAUGUAUCUACUGUAUUUUUAAAAUCUAUGCUAACGUUGUAAUUGUUCCCCUAAUUGUCGGUGGGCUGUCUGCAGAAAUUUUGGAUGAAUGUAAUGCAGCCUAAUUUUGAUGGUAAUUUACAUGCUUUAAUUUAA